UGGUUUUUGGUUUGUAACGGGUGGUUGGAUGUCUGCUUGCGCAGCAACUUCUAUGCGUUCUUACCUCUUCAGUUGUGUUACACGGCGAUUUUGCCUUGAACAUAUGUGGGUUCCUGUGUUGCAUACCUAAUCGAUGGCAUUGUGUUGCUUGAACAAAGUUCCCUUUCAUAAAGCGUCGCUUGCGGCGCCAAUGAACCUCGAAGUGGUCUUUGUUGUCCAUCCCAUCGUUGUUGAUGCAAUGAUGGAAUGGCCCCUAUGAAGUGUCGCUUGGUCUCUUGGAUAUGGAACCUGGUUUGGGCAUGUGGUCAGUUAUGAUCAAUUUUGCCCUACAUGAGCGUUUUGCUUUUCUAAACGACUGUCUUUCUUGCAUUAACUUGUUGGUGCAGGGUAGGCUAUGUCGAAGAGGAAUGCUACCUGGU
rnacentral:misc_RNA from 1 species